rnacentral:lncRNA from 1 species
AGAGAUUUAACUCAUGCAUUAUGUAUUUAAUGUCCCACAAAUUAUGAAAUUUAAAAAAAUUCAAAUAAUAUUUUUAAAAUAUAAUGAAUACUUGAAAAUAAAUAUUAGAAUAAUAUUGUUCUUCACAAAAUUAUAGCAAAGAAAAUAAUGUACCCACAUAAUUAUUAAUAUAUUUUAAAUCAUAAAAUAAAUACAUUUAAUUAGCAUGGGUACAUUUAGUAAAAUUAAAAAUGGGUACAAAUAAAUUAAAAAAUAUGGGUACAAAUACAAAUAAAACCUAAAAAAUAUGGGCACAAAAAGAAAUUAAUAUAUGGGUACAAAUUAAAAGUGAAAAGAAAAUUGGUAUUAAUAAAAAAAAGGUUGCAAAUUAAAAAUGGGUACAAAAUAAAAAUAAAAAUAUAUGAUAAAAAAUUUAGUCAUAAAUAUAAAUAUACCAAUUGUUAUUACCAAAUGUAACAUUUCUAACACUAAAUGAAUAUAUUUAGAGAUACAAAUAUUUUAUUAUUGAAAUAAUUAAUGAAGUUUAUUAAUACCUAGGGACCUUGAUAAAAAAUUGAAAAUAAAUAAGAUUUUAAUCAAAGGAGUAGUAAAAAGAGAAAUGGGAACCAAAUUUAUAUUUAUAAUUAUUAGGCCCUGUUUGUUAAUUUGGAGAAAUUUUUUAUUGUGAGGGGAACACGAGUGGUACACCACGUGUUUUUAUGUAAAUGAUGAGAAAUUUUAUUUUUAAAUUUAUUAACUUUUUUAUUAACUUUAAUGUAUGGGUACAUUAACCAAAAUUAACAAAAAAAGUUAUUGUACCAAAACAUGGAUACAUUUUCAAAUCAACAAAAAAGAAUGUACCCAUAUAAGUUUAAACAUGGAUUAAAAAAUUUGAAUGGAUUUUAUAUUAAAAAAGGGUACAUUUUACAUAUAACAAAUUGAUAUAUUUGAGAAUGGGUGCAUUUAAGAUUAAAAAAAUUGAAAAAUUAUAUGAAUGGGUACAUUUAAGAUUAAAAAAUUGAGAAUCUUUUUAUAUAUAAAAAAAACUAAUAGUUACAAACUUAAUUUAAUUUAAUUUUUUAUUAUUUUGGAAAUGUUUGAAUUGAGAAUUAAUUAGAAGUUUAAAAAUUGAGAAUCUUUUUAUAUAUAAAAAAACUAAUAGGUACAAACUUAAUUUAAUUUAAUUUUUUAUUAUUUUGGAAAUGUUUGAAUUGAAAAAUAAUUAGAAGUUUAAUAGAGGUGUGAGUAUUAAACCCUAAAUUAAUUACUAAUUUUAUAUUAAAAAAUUAUAUAAUAAACAUGUAAAUUCAUUAUCACAUUAAUACUAGGGACUUGAAUCAAAAUUUGAAAACUAAUAAGGUCUUAGUCAAUGAACAGUAAAAACUAGGGACCGGAUACUAAUUUUUCCCUAUAAAAAUAUACAGAUAAAAUCAUAAAAAUUUGGCAACACAGGUUUCGUUUCCCUUUCAUAAAAAGCUAAAUUUUUUGUUCUGUUAAAUUUGACCACCCUUGAACUAAUUAGAAAAUAGGAUUAUUUGGUCGAACCUGUAGUAAACUAACCACUUGGUAUAAAUUUUGCACUACAUUCUGGAAAAAUUAAUCUUUUUUAACAACUUUUUCAUUUGGACUUUCUUAUUUUACUCUUCUCUUAUCUUGUAAUGUUGCACAAUAUCCAAACGACCUAUUUUUAGGUUACUCUUAAUGAUCAUCUUUAUUAAAAAAUAAUUAAAUUGAAAAUUAUUUAGUCAUCUAACGAUUAUUUAUAGAAUAGACAAACCAUGUUCUUCAUUUAACUAAAAUAUCAACAAUGUGAACUGGCGGUCAAAUAAUUUCUAAUUUUUUUUAUUUUGUAGAGUUGAAGUUUACUGAGCGAUCUAAAAAUUAUAUAGUUUUGAUCUCCAAGAAUGAAUAAGAAGAAAGCAGAAAGGGUAAACGAGAAAAUUCAAGUAAAAAGUAAUGAGAAUCGAGUGGAAAGGUUAUUAGAAUUCCAUCUUUCUUUAAUACGUUAAAGACCUUGUAACCUAUUUAGUCACUUGUAUUCGGAUUUUGUCUAAUUUCUGAAACCAAUAGUAAUUGUGUAGGGAGAAAAAAAAAUUAUAUAUAUACGUAUAUUAUAUAUGUAUGUGUGUGUAUAAAUAUAUGUGUCUCUGUCUAUAUAUAUAGGCCCUUUUAUGCAAAGGGAUUUCUAUUUUUUUUUUCAAAAAAUGGGGAUUAGGUGUGGAGCUCACUCCACAUCGAACUUCAACGAUCCGAACUGUCUAUUUUGUAAGUCUCGAUUCAUAGAUCAUCCUUGCAAAAAUUCAAUUUAAUCCGAAAUCAUUUGCCUAUUCAAUUAUCAAAAUAAAAUUUCAUUAUUUCUUAUAUAAUAAAAUAUUUGUUUAGAUGUCUUAAACAUUUCCGAUUUGACCGAUAUUUUGCAAAGAUGAUCUAUGAGGUGUAACUUGAAAAAAGAUGGUUCAUAUCGUUAAAGUUCGAUGUAGUGUGAAUCCCACAACUAAUCUUUAUUUUUAUAAAAAAAAUGGGGAUCCCUUCCCUUAAAGAUUGCCUAUAUCUAUAUAUAAAUAAACUGAGUGUUUUCAUCCUCCAACCAAACCAGUGAUGACUCUGCCAUUUGAUUUCAUAAAAUGAAAGUAUCUAUAUUUGCGUGCAGAAAACUAAGCAUCGUGCACGGCUUGGUCUUUCCAGGCAAGGAAUAGUGUUAUUUUCCAUAUAGAAACCGUUUUCUUCCUUGUUUGCAUAUCACCUUUUCAUGAAGGUUCGCAUCUUCAUGAGGUUUGCAGAAAAUAUAACUAAUUUUCUCGGACAAAACGUUAAUUCUUUACCAAAAAAUAAAAAUAAAAAAAAUAUCACAUCUCAUAUUCACAAGAAUUGUAAACUUUCCAACCAAUGUAAGUAGAGGCAAGUGGUUCUUUACCACAAUGAUGAAAUGAAGUUGAACCUUUUUUUCAUGACAGUGUGAAUUUAAACUACGUCGGUAGUUAAUCUAACACAAAAAACCAAUGUAAGUAGAGAAAACAUCAUAUUACAAAAAUGGCUGCACCGAAUAACUUUUCUUGGUGAAAACUCGUGAGGAAAUAACCUUUUGUCAACUAGUACAAGAUUAUAAACACAUCAUUGUCACUUAUAUACAAGACAAAAGAACUGCUAUGCAUGCUUCGAUAUCUCUUAAUUUGAAUCCAAUCAAAUCUUAAUUAAAUUCACAAACAAUAUAUGAAUUUAUGACUUACUUCGUGUAUGCUACAUUAAGCAUAUGUAAAAACACAUAUAUUGUUGGCAUGUUCUUCGAAACAAUACAUGUAUGAAUACAAAACAUGUUGUCUACAACCUGAUCAUGCACUUAUUAAAUUAACAAUCAAGACGAAUAUGGAAAACCCAAGUAUGCAAUCAUGCAAAACAAGAAGUGUUGCAACCCGUCUAUAAGUUACUAUAUUUUAUUUUCUGAAAAUUGUGAAAUGUCCAAAAUACUUUUAGAGAAGAAAGUGUUGACUUUUGUUGACAAUUAAACUCGUGACACGUAUGUCCUAGCACAUGUUCGUGGUACUCAUUGAUAUGAGCGCACGAGAGCAAGUGGAGAGGAAAUUAGAGCUAAAAUGAAGAUUUUACGAAACACAAAUGUUAAGGGUAGUCUUAUAAUUCUAAAUUUAAAGAGUAAAACUAAUAAUAAUAUAAAAUGUUAACUAAAGUAAAGCAAAGGGAUCUGGAAGUGGGAGGAAGAGAGAAGAAAAAAAGGGGGAGAUGGCGUUGGCCAAAGGAUGGGGGGGGAUUACAAGGAAUCCCACGGCCUGAAACUAUGAAUCGGAAAGGGGGGGGGGUGGAGAGCGGAAAAAAGAAAGGGGGGACAAGAUAGAAACUAUGAAUCUUUGAGAGAAGUCGAAGGAAAUAUAGAAGACACCAGGAGGAGCAAAGAGAAAAUAAGGAAUUAAAAUGUUUGCUAGAACUGAGAGAAAAGGUGUACAACCAUGUCGUUUGAACCAUAACAGAAAUGUGAUUGCUUUUGUCGACCGCAGCAUAGGUAACGAUUCCCAUCUCUCUUUAUUCCUUCAAUAGCUGCUUUGUAUCAAUCUUUCGUAUUAUUUUCAAUUUUAUACUUUGGGUGUUGUAAUCAAAUAUCUUGUUCUAGGGUUUGGAUUAAAAGGUCAAGUCUUGUUAAUUGUUGAAUAUAAUUGAAAUCGAAGUUAUAAACAUGAAUUCUGAAAUGUGUGGAAGCAUUCUGAAAAUGUAAUUUGGAUUAUAAGAGUAUAGGUUCUAAAUUGCAGGAAAUUUAUUAAUUCUUCACAGAAAAACUAUGUUUCAAGUAGCCUAUUUUGGCUCUUGAUUUCUAUGUCUUUAUUGAUUCCUUUUGAGCCAAUAUUAUGUGGUUUAAAACUAGACAUGCCCAUGAUCAAUACCCAUCUGAUAUCACUUAAUUCCAUUGAGUAUUGAUAUGUCAAAAUCAUAUUCAAACUUGAGUCCCGAAGCUGCCAGACAGCAGCAAAUACUGGGUUUCCAGUUUCGGGACUCUAUUUUGUAAAUUGCAGAACUUUCAACUUAGAACCCCAUUUUCUACAAAUCUUUUAUGCUUUUGAAGUACACAAAACAAGCUUCGAAACCCAUGUAAGUUUGCAUCAACCGGUAUAGGUAUGAGUGUUCAAAAUCAGGUUAAUCUUGGUUGACUUAAACUGCUUUUCUGCAGCUUUUGUGGAGAAGAGGUUGCUGCUUUGCAAUGUUCUUUCUUCUCUAAAUUUUAAUUCUAAUUUACUUAUCGAUAUUGAGUUUAUUAAAUCACUUUAUAUGGUUAUGUAUUGGGUUUCAAAGAACCAUUUUCUAAUACAAUUAUAAGCUCAAUGAUUUAAUGUAUUGGUGCACUUAUGCCUAUUGAAACACAGAAUCACUUAUAGUCCAGAAUUAUUUCCAUUCAAACGUAUUGGUAGUGAUGAAGCUAUAUUAGGUCAACCAAAAUGGCAUUUGAAUUGGGGACUGUUAAAUUAGUAUUCCAAGUACUUUGACUAGGAUUAAAGUUCAUCUCAUGCAUUUAGUAAUGUCUUAUAUUGUGAAAAUGGAUUUGGCCAUGUUGGUGGAUCCUUGUAUUAGUAACUGAGAGCAAUGCUUAGGAAUCCAUGUAGAGGAAAUACAACAGACAUUUUCAGAGUUUGAUUAUACUAAACUUCGUGGAAUGUUAUCUUAUUAUGUAUCUCAUAGGUUGAUUACUUGUGUACAUAAUUGGAUUACAUGUAUGGUAAUCGAAUUAAUGCUUUUGUUGGAUGUCUAUUAGUGUGAUUAUGGCUUGCUUUGAUAUGAGAUGGAAUUCUUAGCAGACUUUGUAAUAACGUGAGAUAUGUUAGGGAACUACGAAUGGCUAGAUACCGUCUUAGGGUACGUAGGCAAUCUAACACAGAGGUUAGAUGCAACCAUAUGUAAAAGAAAAAUUACUACUAUUGACACAAUGAUUCGGGUGAAAGGGUAUGUGAUGACGUCACGUGUGGAUCCUAGACCUAUCUUGGGAUCGGGGCGUGACAAGAAGUAAUUAUGAAUUACCACUUAUGUAAUGCCAAUUCAGAACUGAUGACAAAAUUAAAGCAACCAAAUCUAAACUUAUCUUAAGGUUGUUGGGAAAAUAGGGUCUAAUUGCUAUAUUAAAUCACAUAAAAAUUAAGAAAUAAUUUAUGCAAUUAUAUAUCAAAGUAAUUAAUGCAUGCACAUGAUUAAUCAAUGUUAAACGAACAUGAUAUAAUGGAUUAGAAAAACCUAGAAAUACAGUCGAGGCAAGUGAUGGACACUCUGUCUUUAAGAUAAGUUUAUGCCUUACUACGGUGUUCAUGGUUGGUUGACGCUUGUCACUCGGGAUACAACGACCACGCCCUUGUAAUAGUAGCACUCCAAAUCAUAAGGCGCCAAUGAAUCAUGAUUCUCAUAUAGACUCAAUGGUACUAUCUAAUUUUUAGUGCACUAUAUGUAUGAAUAUGAAUAUUGAUUUUAUGAUUAUAGGAUGCUUCCCUAUUUAUAGAUUUGAGAUAUUUUUUUUGAAAAAUAUGUGACCAUUCAUCAAGAGUCAAAAGUUACUAUUCAUUAUGUUAAACGUGUAUUUCCACCAAAAUACAUAACUUCUAAUUUCCAUUUAAUUAUUUAAUUUAAUAUAAUAAUAUUAAAAGUUCCAACAAUGCUAUUAGAAAUGGGGCGCCUACACUUAAGCCCAUUUUUAACUGAAAUGGCUAAAUAUAGUCCUGUUCAAAAUUAUAACCCUGUAAAAUUUUUUUUUUUUAAAUAAACAGUAUCAGACUAUACUCAUAUACCAUCUUCAACCAACCGAAUGCGCUAAGCAUAGCCCCUUAAUAAUUUAUUAGUUUUAUAUUUAUACUUUAAAUUUAUGGUUAAUUAAACUACUUUCGGAUGUUUUCGAACCUAACCGUUGAGUUUCAAUCAAUUAUUGCAAUUGGAAGAGUAGGAUCUCAAAAAAGGUUAAGAAGAAGACCACAUUUGGCUAGCUUGAUGCCCCUUUGGAGAUGAAUUUUUGAGCAAAUUAGGCUAUUUUCUAGUUUUUAAUCGUUAGCCUUUGGGAUGACCUAACAUUAUCUUUCCCUCGGCCUGUAUUGUUCAUCUCUUCUCCCACUGCCAUUGAUUGAUCCACAUAGCUCAUCGUCAUGAAGUCAUCGGUGUUUGUUCUCAAUAUUUAUUCAAUAAUGAGCAUAGAUUAUAACCGACAGCCCAUCCUAGUCGUGAGCAGUGUAGCUACUCUUAUUGUGGUCUUCAUCCUCGUCUGAUAUAGGGCUUCCUCGCCUUUUCCGGAACCAUUGGAAGUAAGUGUCGAGUCAGUUACUGUUUCCCGACUCAGCGCGGCCGGGCCCGAGUGUACCGUUAAAUAGGAGCUAAAGCUCGUAGUCACAAACCCCAACAGCAAUCACGACUUCGAUCUCUACAUUGGAGAUCAUCUGCAGGUCACACUCUUCUUGUACAAUCGCUGGCUUAUCGGCAGUUUUAUGGUGACUACCAAGUCAUUACAUCCUCCCUUGCUUUUAACCAGCGAGACCAACUAGACGACCACCUUAAGUUUCAAAAUGCAAACUGAUCGUGCCUACUUUGGUGAAAAGUUCAUCGAGGAAAUCUUCAGAAGGAUAAUCCAAGUCCACCUGAAUGUGAUGGCUUGAUAUCGGCUCAUGCCCACCACUUCGAAGCCUGAGGGAUUCCAUGUGUUAUGGCUCUCCUGCCUUGGCAUGGGGCUGUGCGAGUUCGAUUCUACCCGUAGCAAGGAAAUCGUUUGACUCUUUAUUAAUUGUGUUGGUAAAUGUAGUUGCUUGCAAUAGACAGAUUGAUGUUAUGUAAUUGGAGAUAAAUUGAUUCUACUUAAUUCCAAAUUAAUCCAGUGAUGUCUUUACUUAUCGGAUUUGUUUGCGCAUUACAUACAUUGCUGUUGGGAAAUUCAGGGUUUGGGCUUGUUAAACUGACUACAUAAUUUAAUGAUUUUAUCUCAUUAAACUGAUUACGUAAUCAAUUUAAUGAGAUAAAAACAUUAAAUUAGGUAAUCAAUUUAAUGAGCCCGAACCUUGCAUUUCCCAACAACAAUGUAUGUAAUGCGCAAUCAAAUCUGAUAAGAAAAGACAUCAUUGGAUUAAUUUGGAAUUAAGUAGAAUCAAUUUAUCUCCAAUUACAUAACACCAGUCUGUCUACUGCAAGCAACUACAUUUACCAACACAUUUAAUAAAGAGUUAAACGAUUUCCAUGCUACGGGUAGAAUCGAACUCGCAUAGCCCCAUGUUGGGGCAGGAGAGUCGCAACACACGGAAUCCCUCAAGCUUCAAAGUCAUGGGCAUGAGCCGAAACCGAGCCAUCACAUUCAGGUAGACUUGGAUUAUCCUUCUGGAGAUUUCCUCAAUGAGCUCUUCACUUAAGUAGGCACAAUCAGUUUGCAUUUUGAAACUUAAGGUGGCCGUUUGGUUGGUCUUGUUGGUUAAAAGCAUGGGAGGAUGUAAUGACUUGGUAGUCACUAUAAAGCUGCCGCCAAGCCAACGAUCGUACAAGAAGAGCGUGGCCUGCAGACGAUCUCCAAUGUAGAGAUUGAAGCCGUGCUUGCUGUUGGGGUUUGUGACUACGAGCUUUAGCUCCAAUUUGACGGUACACUCGGGCCCGGCCGCGCUAAGUCGGGAAACGGUAACUAAUUCGACACUUACUUCCAAUGGUUUUGAAAAAGGAGAGUAAGCCCUAUAUCAGACGAGGAUGAAGACCACAAUAAGAGCAGCUACACUGCUCACGACUAGGACGGGCUGCUAGCUAUAAUAUGUCCUCAUUGUUGAAUAAAUAUUGAGAAUGAACACCGAUGGCUUCAUGAUGAUGAGUUAUGUGGACCAAUGGUUAUAAUUUGUCCUUUUUGAAAUAUGAUGUUUUCUUUACUUACAUUGGUUUUUUUGUAUUAGAUUAGUCACCGACGAAGUUUGAACCGCGCCUUUAUACAAAGGCUCAACUCAUUUUCACUACUGUGGUAAAAUGCUACUUGCCUCUACUUACAUUGGUUGAAAAGUUUAUAAUUCUUGUGAAUGCAUAUGAGAUGUGAUUUGUACAACCCUAUGCAAAAAAUAACGUUUUGUCUGAGAAAAUUAGUUAUAUUUUGUACAAACCUCAUGAAGAGUUGCGACCCUUCAUGUAAAGGUGAUAUCCAAACAAAGAAGAAAACGGUUUCUAUAUGGAAAGUAACAUUCCUUGCCUAGAAGACCAAGCCGUGCACAAUGCUUAGUUUUCUGCAUGCAUAUUGAUACUUUCAAUUCAUGGAAGCAAAUGGCAGAGUCAUCACGGGUUUGGUUGGAGGAUAGAAACACUCGGUUUGUUUAGCAUCUAUUGGUGAAAGAUGGCUUGAUAAUAUAUAUAUGUGUGUAUUUCAGAAAUUACAAUGUGUGGUUUUCCUAUUUCUAAGUAUGAUGAAAUAGUAUAUAAUGGCAUUAAAAAAAAAAAUUUGCUUCUGAAAAGAGAUAAAGAUUAUCUUUUACAAUGGUAAUUUUAAGAUAUUGAAAGGUUAGAAAUCUUCUGGCAAAUACCUUAAAGGUGGGGGAGUUUACCAAAGUGUUAGUAAACUACUUAGUAAUUAGGUUUGGAUAUAUAUGUUUGGAGGACUUAAACGUAAGAAAACAACUACUCGCAAACAAAAUCAAUUUUCAUGCAUGGAUGAAAUUUGUGAUGGUCAUAAAUUAAAUAGAUAGUCAACCUAGUGGAUCCAAUUAUUAAGGUUUGACUAGAGAGUAAGUUGUAUCAUCGAGGGGAAUGCGUUAAAAGCCCGUAUUUAGAGUAGUCAUAGUAGAAACCCAACCUAGUUGACUGGAGAUCCCAAGAUCUAGGUUUUAAAAGGACAACUAAAUUAUGACAACUCGGAGUAGCAUUGCGGAGAUAUAUUCUCUUUUUGCCCAUGCAAGACGAGUUGGAGUAUCGCUCGGAAAACCUCUAGAAACUUGCUCAAGUGGCUAAAUAGAUUACAAGGUCUUUAAUGUGUUAAGGAGGGAUGGAAUUCUAAUAACCUUUCCACUCGAUUCUCUUAACUUUUUACUUGAAUUUUCUCGUUUACCCUUUCAACUUUCUUCUUACUCAUGCUUAAUAAUCAAAACUAUGUAAUAUUUAGAUCACUAUGUAAACUUCAACUCUGCAAAGUUAACAAAAUUAGAAAUUAUUUAAGCAUCAAUUCACAUUGUCGAUAUUUUAAUUAGUUAAGUGAAGAACAUGAUUUGUCUAUUUUAUAAAUAACCGUUAGAUGACUACGUAAUUUUCAAUUUAGUUAUUUUUUUAUUUAUAAAUUGAUGAUCAUUAAGAGUAACUUAAAAAUAGAUAGUUUGGAUAUUGUGCAAUGUUACAAGAUAAAAGAAGAGUAAAAAGAGUAAGCUAAUUAGUUUUGACAUAUUAGCUAACCAAAUUAUAUAUACAUUGAAUAAACAAAUUUAGAGAUUGAGGCUUAUCUAUUAGAAGUUGUGAAAACAUAGGUGGUGGACACGGUUAGAACUAAGCUAAUUAGUUUUGACAUAUUAGCUAACCAAAUUAUAUUUCUAGCUAGUUGCUCCCUAUACAAUCAUCAGAUAGGUAAUACCAACCGAAUUGGUGUGCAACUGUUAAACGUUGCAAAAAGAAAAUAUAGAGAUUUGCCAAUCUCUGUCAAACACGGAGGCAUGUAUUAAUGUUGUAAUGGUAUCACACAGUACUAGGGUUUGCAGGUUGUAAAACACGGUGGUGCAUUUGGUGAGUUCUUCUGUUAUCCUGGUUGUCUUAGGAGUCAAGUUGCGGGAGCUAAGUCGGAGCUUUGCAGGUUUUGGAACUCUUGCAUACAUAUCGUCUCUGCCUCUGUGUGUGUGAUAGAGAGAGUUUAAGCUGUAUUUAUGAAAGCCAUGUAAAAAUAUGAAUUUUAAAGCUGCCUUCACCUUCACGUGAAAAGCAGCAAAACCUUGCUAAUUUCUUGAUAAUUUUUGUUUGGGAGAAAGGGAAGCUAGAAAGCGUUUUCUGUUUUUACUUCUUCUAUAAUGGGCAGCUGCAGAAGAAGGCAGCACAAGGGGAGGACUUGUACCGUUGUUUUGUCUUUCUCUAAUAAUAAAAACCAAAGGUAUCCAUGAUAAUUUAGUUGGUAGACUUUUUGUUCAUAAGCCAAAUAUAUAUCUCUAUAUAUACAAAAAGGCAUUUCAAAAGUUUUAAGGAGCCAAAAAUGACACAUGUGAACUACGACUAAUUGAUCGAGACAAUGUAUCUUUAUUCUCUUGCACUCAAGUUCGAACUCGUCCUAGUUGCUAAUUAAAGUAGUUUAUCGUAUCUAUAUAUUUAUCAAAAAAGAUAAUACUAGGGACACAAAAUUUGCAAAUUAAAUGAUGUGCCACUAAUACGUCUGACUGUGAUCUUAAAGCCCAAUGUGGAAACUCGGUGGCUUUUCUAUAAUGCACCAAAGUUUUCUAAUCCAUUAUGUCAUGUUUAUUUAAUAUUAGUUAGUCAUGUGCAUGCAUUACUUUGAUAUAUAAUUGCAUGAAUCAUUUCUUAUUUUUCUAUGUUAUUUAAUAUAGUAAUUAGAGCUAAACGGAGAGAAAGGCUGUGCCUUUGUACUUGAGGAGUUGGAGAAGGUGGUGGCCUUGGAUGGAGUGAGUGAGUUCGUUGAUAGAGAGAGAGAGAGGGAGAAAGGGCUUAAUGUGCCAGAUACUGAGGAGAGGAGGUUGCCUAUUGAGUCUAGACAAAAUUAUAGCAAGACAAAUUUUAAGCUACUACCUUAGUACCUAUACUAUGUAAAGGGAUCCUCUCCGGAUCCCUUUCACCUAAUUCUCCUCAUCAAACAAUUCAAACCCAUGAAAUUUGAUCAAACGGCUAAAAUUAUUAUAACUUUUAGAGUGAACCCUUGUUUGUAGCCGUUUAAAUAAAUUUCAAGGGUUUAGAUUGUUUGAUGAUGAGGAUUAGAUAGAAAGGAUCUGGAGAGAAUCUCUUUCCAUAGUAUAGGUACUAAGGUAGUAGCUUAAAAUUUGUCUUUGCUAUAAUUUUGUCCAGACUCAAUAGGCAACCUCUCUCCUUAGUAUCUGGCAUAUUAAGGCCCCUCUCUCUUUAUCAACGAACGCACUCACUCCAUCUAAGGCCACCACCUUCUCUGACUCCUCAGGUACAAAGGCAAAGCUUUUCUCUCCUUUUAGCUCUAAGUUGCUUGCUUACCUUUAAAACAUGUAUUCAUUUAUCUUCUUUUUUUUCUUUCAAGGUUUUACUUUCACACAGGGCAGCCACCACUAUCUCCGAUUCCGACUUCGACUCCUUAGGUACAUAGUAAAUGUGUUUAUUGUUCAUCGUUUGAUUCUUUAUGUUUGGACCCAAUGAUUUAUAUUAUCAACACAAAAUCAUGUAAUGGUUUACUCAAACUUGUUUUCUGGGUCCUUGGGUUAUAUAUAUAUAUAUAUGGAUGAGUUUGAUUGAAUAUUUUCUCAAUUUAUUUGUGAGUGUGUAAGUUAGAGACUCAGCACAAAAGUUCAUCCCCAAAUUCAAAAAAUCUUUAUUUUUUUUUUUAAUUAUUAGUAAAUGUUUUUUUUUAAAAUUAAAUAUAUAAAAGUGGGAGGCAGAAGGCAGUCUUUAGGCUUGUAAUUUUAAAUUAAAUAUAUAAAGUGCAAGGUAGAGAAGGUAGUGUGCAGUCGAAAAAUGCUUUUGUUUCUCAGCCACACGCAUUCACGACACCCUGCAGGCGGUGGAGGCCGACCUAGAGAGGAAAAGAAAUAACCCUUUUUUCUUUUGGUUUUUGAUCAUUCUCUGUUGUAUCGUUAUGUACUUGCUAGGUAUUUCAUGGAUAACCAAGGACAUGGUAAUUCGAUGCCACAGUUGAACGAUGGUAGAUGGGCUCGGUGCAUGUUGUGGUACUGUUUCUUGCUUUCACAUUUGGGUUGAUUGUUCACUUUAAUAAGCUAAGGGUACUGUUAAGAAGGGAUUCCCAAUACGGGUACCUCGAAAUGGUUCACAGUAUUAGUCGCAGUGGUUAUGGCAAAUCCAAGUAUGUGUACCAUUGAUACAAUCAUAGGUAAGCUCAUAUCUUGGAUUGUUUCCAAGAGUAGAUUUUAUCAAAGGCCUAGGCAGCAUCAGAUCGGUUUGGCAACAUUUUGUAUAUUUCUCCUAGUGGUAAUCAUAGGGCUUGCAGUAAUACGCCUACGGGAGGCGAAGCAGACGACUUCAAAUAACAAGAAUGCAAAAAAUAUGAAUUAUGCAGAGGUAUAUUACUUUAACGUUAUAUUGUUGAUGACGAUUAGGUACAAUGAUUUUGCGUUCAAGUCUACCGAUGGACAACUUUUCGCUUCGUUUUAUCUGCUAAUUGGACCAUUGCUGGUCGUCUGAUAUUUGAACUUCGUAGUUGGCUCUUUUCUCCAACAGUGGACGGGGUAAUUAAAUUUACUUUAUUUUCGAUACCUAUUGUUAUGUUUGUGUGACUCUUUGAAGUAAAACUUAUAUUAUGUUUGUGUGACUCUUUGAAGUAAAACUUAUAUUUUUUCUUGAUAUGUAGACCAAAUUUAGAACAAUAGUUAUAUGACGCCAGGGCAGCUAUAGUAGUUGAUCAAGCUCUUCCCUAGCGUCGUAUAACUGGUGUUCUAAGUUUGGUCUGCAUAUCAAGAAAAAUUAUAAACUUAAUUCAAAGAGUCACAGAAACAUAACAUAAGGUAUAUGUAAAUAAAGUAAAUGUAAUUACCCUGUCCACUGUCCAAGAAAAGAGCCAACUAGGAAGUCCAAAUAUCGGACCACCAGUAGUGGUCCAAUUAGCAGAUGAAACGAAGCGAAAAGCUGUCCACUGGUACACUUGAACGCAAAUUCGCCGUACCCAACCGUCAUCAACAAUAUAACAUUAAAGUAAUAUACAUCUGCAUAAUUCAUAUUUUUUGUAUUCUUAUUAUUUGCAGUUGUCUACUUCGCCUUCAAUAGGCGUAUUACUGCAGGCCCUAUGAUUACCACGAGGAGAAACAUACAAAAUGUUGCCGAACCAAUUUGAUGAUGCCUAGGCCUCUGAUAAAAUAUACUCUUGGAAACAAUCCAAGAUAUGAGCUUACCUAUGAUUUUAUCAAUGGUACACAUACUUGGAUUUGCCAGAACCACUACGACUAAUACUGUGAACCAUUUCUAUGUACCGUGUUGGGAACGUAGUCUCCAUAUCCUACAAUUGUUAUAGUAACAACCGUAAAAUACAGAGCCUCUACGAAUCCCUUCUUAACACUACCCUCAGCCUGAUUAAGGUGAAUACUCAUCCCAAAUGUGAAUGCAAGAACUAAUACCAUAGCACGCCCAUACACCACAGUUUUGCUGUGGCAUCGGCUGCCAGAUUACCCCAUCCUUGGUUAUCCAUGGAAAACCUAGUAAGACAUCACGAUACAACAGAAUGAUAAAAAACCAAAAAAAAAAAGGUUGUUUCUUUUCCUCCCUAGGUCGACCUCUACUGGAGUGUGGUGGAUGCAUGUGGAGGUGUGGUUGAGAAACAAAAGCAUUUUUCGCCUACACACUGCCUUUCACUUUUACACAUAUUUUUUUUUUGUUGACAAACUAGCAAUUACUAGUCUCGUAUGGAAGUUGAUUUCUGUAGGUUGAAUUGGAAAUGUUGGCAUAGCAAUGCUGCGGUUUGUUGUUCUUUUGUUUAGUGGCCAAAAAUUAAGCAAUUUUGUUUAGUGGCUAAGAAUUCAGUAGUGUUAUGUUAUUUAGUGGAUAAAAAUUCAGCGGUUGUAAUUUCUAAACAAGUCGUCGUACCCAGUGCACAAGGCUCCCGCUUUACGCUGGGUCUGGGAGAGGUGAAUGUCGGCUAGCCUUACCCCCAUUUAUGGAAAGGUGAAUUUAGAAUAAGUUAUAUAAUGACUUUUAACUCAUUUUAUAUUGGUGUGACGAGUUUCAAUUACUUUUCAACUAACAAUACAGAAAGAAAAGUUACAUUAAAUCUAUCAACUUCAGAACCCUGUCUAUAUAUAACUCGGAAGCCCUGGGGACCCAAAACCCAGAAAACAAGUUAAGACUAAGAGCAACCCAUAAAUCAUUGGGUCCAAACCAACUUGAAUUUUCAUAGAUCAUUGUGGAAAGUAAAUAAUUUUGAAUAAACCAUUAAAUAAUCUUGUUUAUCUUGAAUGAGUGCAUAUGGUAAACCCAAAGUCAUCCAAACCUCAUAAAGCUCAUCAUCCCAACCGUCCAUUAUGCAAACCAAAAGAUUGACAAAAAAACCCAUAAAGCAAAGAAAACGAUGAACGAUGAACGAGAAACAAUAAACAUAUUUAUAAUGUACCUGAGGAGUCGAAGACAAAGUCGGAGAUAGUGGUGGCUACCGUCUGUGAAGGUAAAACCUUGAAAAAAAAAAGGUUAGUUAGUAUGGGCUUUAAAGGUAAGCAAGCAACUUUGAGCUAAAAAAGGGGAGAAAAAGGCUUUACGUUUGUACCUGAGAAGUCGGAGAAGGUGGACGCAGGUGGAGUGAGUGCAUCCGUUUGAAGGAGUUAAGGAUUGGAGCAACUACGUUUGUGUGAACAAGGAACGGAAAUACUAUGCUGGAUGAAGAUUUGAGUGCUUAUUAAUAAGCUGGAGGAUCCAUGCUCGUUUCAAAGGCAGACAUGGAAGUUUGGACAAAGUUAUAAUAAAACAAACUUCAAGCUGCAGUAACUGCACUAUCAUCAUCCAAAGGCCAAACUCUAAUGCAAAAAUGAAAAACAAUCAAUGUUUUUUCACAUUGUAAAAACUCAAGAUUUAAAAACAAUGAAGAAGGAUUUAGAGUUAGUUUGAAUUUGAUGUAUGAAUUAGAAUGGAUGUAGUCUUUAUAUGGACAAAAAAAAAAAUAUGAGGUUCUGGAUAAUGUCACGUGUCAUUACGUGAUCGGUUGAAAAUCUUAUCGAAAUCUUAGCUAAAUUAUUGUAAACAGAUAGUAACACGUGGCUUAUCGGGAUUGGUUGAAAAUCUUAUCCCUCCGCAAAAUAGUACUUUCGGAUAAUAACACGUGGCGUGAUAAGAUUGGUUGAAAAUCUUAUCGAAAUCUUGACUAAAUUAUUGUAAACAAAUAGUGACACGUGGCGCGUCGGGAUUGUUUGAAAAUUUUAUCGGAAAUCUAUAUACAAAAUAGUACUUUUGGAUAAUGACAUGUGACGUGAUAAAAUUGGUUAAAAAUCAUAUCCAAAUUUUUUUAUUUUUUAUUUUAUAAAAAAAUUAAUAAUAUUUUAAUACGAAUUGACUAGACUUUAUGUCAACGCAUUCAUUAGGGGUAGACAUGUAUUUAGUUAAUUACAGUUCAUUAGAUCAAUUACUAUUCAUUUAAGUGAAUUAAAUGAACCGGAUGUUAGCACAUUUUUAAGGAUGAACUUGCUGUUAGUGUCCUCCAUGCCCGGAUCUUCUAUCACAACACAUAAGGUAUUUAUGUCACUUUGAUAUGUGGUGAAAUUUAAAAAAAAAAAUGAAAAAACUGAAGAGGGAAUUACUAUUUACAGUUGUGUCGACAUGACAACUCAAUUCCAGCAGUGCCCAACAUGGCAACUCAAUCCCAACGGUACCAGCGCCAACUCUUCUACAGCUAUUACUACUAGCCUUCCACGUUGCCGAAUGCUUUCAUUAUAUUCCCAGCCUACCUAGUUUUGGUCUUCGUUUUGACAGAUUCUCCUUUUAACUUAAUUCUAAUAACUUUAUCUCACUAAAAUCAUCUCCAAAAAUAUUUAAAAAAAAACUAACUUAAAAAAUUUAGAUUGUAACUUAAAAAUAGUUUUUUCUGCUUUGUAUUAAGUAAACCUUGAAAUAAAAAAGAAUGUGAAUGUGUAUGAGUUUUGAAUUAGAAAGUGGAGAGAAAGACGUUGUAUUUGUACAUGAGAAGCUCGAAGAAAAUAAACAUAUGUUGAUUCACACAAAAUAAAAGGUUUUACCUAUUUCAUUUUCCCUAAAACCACCAAAGCCAAAAUUGUGUGACAAGCAAUUUGAGGGUCUUCAUCGUCAUCCGAUUCAGUUGGGGACUCCAUUCCGGAGGUAGUAACAAUCUGUUAAAUGAAAAACAAUAGGAAAAUUUUAGUAUUCCCGAGUAGGGCAGCAACACUGAGUUUUUUUUUGCUCCAAGCAGCACAUUAUAAGUAGAACAAGUUGAGAAUUUUCCAUACCUUAAAUCAGAGCAUAUAUUGUAUUGUGUUCCCUUUCCCUUUCCUACUUUGUAUUUUAUUUUCUCUCACGAACUUUUUUCACACCUACACAAACAAAGUAAGCAGGAGUUGUUCUCGGAUAGAUUUUUCUCCCACCCACAAACUAUAUUCUUUUAUCUUUAUAAAACAAACAAGCAGCAGGAGAAGAACAAGAGGAGGGUUAGGUUUUGAAAAGUGUCAAUUCUCAUGUGAUUAUAUAAUGGGAUUGUGCGGGGAGGGAAAGAGAACAUAGUACAAUAGUAGUUGGGAUUAGUACAAUAGUAGUUGGGAUUAUUAAUUUCGAUCGGAUCUGAAAAUAGUAGUUGGGAUUCUUUACUCCACGAAUAAAAUCAUCAACGUAAUUCGAAGGGACGAGGAUUCUCUUCCCUCCUUAUCUUUCUCCUCAUCCAUCUCCUCCUACUUGAACAGUUACGGUUAAACUAUGUCAACAUCUUAUUUUGAUUUUUUUUAUAAAGACAAUAAGACAAAAAACAAUUUGUGAGAACAUGGGAGGUAAGAGGAUGAAAAUAGGAGGAGAAAAAAAUCUACUCCAAUUCGAAGACAAGAACCGCAUGAAAGAUAAAAGCAUAACCUGGAUCAGAGGCAGUGCCUGCAUGAUAAUAACCACAUGCUCAGGCUCAGCUAUAUAAUCAAACCAUGGCUCAUAGUCAUAGGGAUUCUUGCACAGUCAGCUGCUAGGGUUAGGGUUAGGGUUUCUCUAUUCUUUUGUAAGUAAUUACUAUCCUUUAGCUUUUUUUUUUUUUUUUUUUUUUUUGGUGAAAGUACUAUCCUUAAAAAUCUGUAUAAGUUGUUGAGGCAAGCUAUUAUCCAAGUAAUAUAGACAACACAAAGAAUAUAAGCUUUCAUAUAGUGAUAAUUCAUCGUGGUUAACAUGUAAAUGAUAAUUAUAUGAGUAACUAAAAUAAAAAAAAAUAAAAAAAACCUUUAGCUUUGAGUUCAUUAUGUCAUGUUAGACAUACCUCUUUUCUUUUGUUCUACUCUCCGCUGAAGUUUAAAAGGUGAAACUGGAGAAUGAUUUUGCAAUGUGAAGCACAAAUCGGAUCUUGGUGUAGGCUUUCAAGACUAGUGUGGAAACAUAAAAACGUACAUGAUUAGAAUGUGGCUAAUAUGGUGUGUUUAUGUUUCCAUUAUAUGGACCAUUGAUUGAGGUUGCACCACCUAUUACCUACACUAUCAUCCAAGGCCAAACUCUUUCUGCAAAAAUGAAAAACAGCUGAUGAUUUUCCACAUUCGUAUGAACCGGCGGUCCUUUAAUAUCCUCCAUGCAUGAACCUUGCUCGACCACACAAAAGGAAGGUUGGUUGCUUGUAAUUGUAAGGCAACUUUAAGAGUAUUUAUGUCACACUGAUAUAUGUUGAAAUCCAAAAAUGAAAAUACCAAACAACAACUAAAUCUUAUCUCACUAAGUGGGAUCGGCUGUAUGAAUCCUAUAAUGUAACUGAGCACGACUUUGCAUCAAGUCUUCUGUUAGCUCAAAGUAUUCCAUAUCUUUUCUUAUAGUCUAUUUCCUAGGUCUUUAUCUACCCAUUUUGUCUUGAGUCUCCUUCUCAUAGUCACAAUUUCUAACUGGAGCAUCUGAAGGUUUUCAGUUCACGUGCCCAAAUCAUUUUAACUAAUUUCCUCCCAUCUUAUCUUCAAUUCAGGUCACUCCUAUUUUACCUCAAAUAUCUUAAUCCUAUCAUUUCUCAUGUGCCUACACAUCCAUCGAGAACCAUGAUGUGCACCCAUCAUAUAUGAAGUCUUAGACUAAGCACAUCAAUGAUUCUGAAAGUAUUAGAGAAGUGUGACUGGAUUACUGGAAGAUAGAUACAUAAAUUAGACUGAGGAGGUGUGUUAGUGGAUGCGUUGGAUGUGGGCUAACAAAAGUACAAAUAUACGAUAACACUUGACUGCACUGUAUAUAUAUCCAUGUCUGUGCAUGUGUAUUUAAUGGCAGUGCCAGUGGUAGAAGUUCUACUUUCUACAUCUUUAUAACUUUAUUCAAUUUUAUAAGGUGAUUUUAGUUCCUCCUUGUGAUUUUAGUUCCUAUUUUUUUAACGGCUUUUUAUUGCAUACUCGUCACGCAUGUAGUAUGCCCAUAUGCCAAUUAGGAAUGCAAGAAUCACUAUCACAAAUUGCAGCCCAAGCCAACACCGUGGUUGGUCUGCGCCAUUGGCUGCUGAAUUACCACCUCCUUGGUUAUCCAUCAAAAGCCUAGCAGGUCAUUUAACAACAAAGAUUAAUUAUAUCUUGAUUGAUCUUAUGAUCGAAACAUUACUUUAGUCUAAAGAAGGGUUUUCAAUUGCACUGUUCAAAUGAACAGUUGUUUUGGACCGAAUUUCACUUUAUUUACAAAAUUGCCACCGCUUUGCACAAUGGAAGAGCGCCCACUCGUCAAUCAUCGUGGAUUGCUCAGCUUCGACUAUUUAUCCGUCUGUUUCCAUCCCCUUUUUCAUUCCCUCUUUUUCUCCCCGACUCUCUGUAAACAUCCAUCAAAUCCCCCCAUCCCUCCCUUUUCUCACUCUCUAAUUUCCCUAAGAUCGCUCACCCAUUCUCAGUCUCGCCAGCCGCGAACCCCUUGACAGCUUGCAACUCCAUGCUCCGCCUCCAGAUUCGUCGCAUAUACCAGCUGAGACCGUCAUCAUAUGAACAAAUCCAUGAUCAGAAAUCAGAUAGGAGAGCCCCAAGACCGUCGCCUGCACUACCGUCUCAGAAAAGUGAGCCAAAAUCUAUCGAGAUCCAAGAAGGUAAAUGUGUACGCUUUCGAGCUAGAAAGCGGAGAGAAAGGCGUUGUCUUUGUACAUGAGGAAUCGAAGAAAAUAAACAUGUUGAUCCACACAAAAUAAAUGGUUUUACCUCUUUCAUUUUUCCCUGAAACCACCAAAGCCAAAAUGUCUUCAUUGUCAUCCAAUUCGGUUGGGAGCUAAUUGCGCAUCAGUUACUGUAUUUAUUAAAGCCAAUGGUCCCAAUGACUCUACUCAAAUUCACAAGUUCAAUAAUAUGAUCACGGUUUUAUGAUUUUUUUUAUCCGUAUAGUUUGUUCAAACGUUACAUUUCCUCUCGUUCGUAUUAGUUAGAAAAAUCAGUAUCGCUUAUAUUUUCCAAACAGGCUAGUAGUUAAAAAUACAUGAAGAAUCUCUGAAGCUGAUAGUACUCAGUCAUACUAAUAAAAUGACUUAAAAGUUGAUAAAUUCUUAUUUAGAAAUUCUAAGCUGUUAAAUUCUUGGCCACUAAACAAAACUAAUUAAUGAAUUCUUGGACACUAAACAAAACUAAUUAAUGAAUUCUUGACUAGAAAACAAAAAUAAUUGGCUAUUAUACAAAAAACAGUGAUAUUAUAUAUCAUGGAGAAUUUGGUUAACAACUGUACCUUCUUGCCCCCUUCAUUGAAUCAAACACAAGAAAAAAAAUUAAGUCCCAAAUGUAUUAUAAUAAAUUGUUGUAAACUACCUAAAGCGGAUGGAUGAUGUCGUUAAUUAGCGGUAUUUCAUUCCUGAAUAGAGUGAAUGACGCUUGAGUGUUAUUGAAGUCUUGAAGCCAAUUUUGAAUUUCAUCAACAACAUUCUCUAAUUCCCUUUCGAAGUUUUCCACCAAUAAUAUCAUUCUUUGUCUUCUCUUUGUACUCAUAUGAUCUCUCUUCAAUCCCAAGGUGGUUCUUGUAUGAUACCAUUGCUUAGUCAAGUUUAGGCUGCAUAUAUAAUAAAAUUCACUUAUAAAAUAAACAAAAAUAGAUAAUAUGAAAUAUAUGUGUUCAUAAAAUUAAUUAAUUACCUGAUCCUCCAAUGUUGCCAUGAGAUAUUCAAGAAUUUGAUAUAGCAAGACACAUGAUGCGGUAAACACAUAGAAUGAAGCGAAAACUUUGGAGGACGUGAAAGAAAAAUCCACGUAGCCAAUGGUCAUUAUAUUAAAGUACCACAUAUCUAAAUUGUAGAACUUCUUACCCUCCAAUAUAGGAUGUUAAUUAGCAACAAAAGCAACAAAAUUGUUGCAGAAACAAUCUGAAUAUAGCUAUUGCUUUGGUUAAACCCCGUCCAUUACGUCGCUUGAAAUAGAAGCCAACCAAUGGCUGCAUUGAUGAUAGUUGUAGCCCCAGGCGCAAAAAAAAAAAUCAUGAAGUAGUGAUGUGAUCAACAUCGAAAUAACCGUGUAUUUCGAUAUUGAUCACAUCACUACUUACGAUUUUUUUUUGCGCCUAGGGCUACAAUUGCCAUCAAUGCAAUCAUUGUUUUGCUUAUAUUUUGAGCAACUCGAAUGGAUGAGGUUUAACCACAAAACUAGCUAUUUUUAGAUUGUUUCUGCAACAAUUAUGUUGCUUUAUUUGCUGAUAUCUAUAUUGGAGGGUAAGAAGUUCCACAAUUUAGAUGUGUAGUACUUUAAUAUAAUCACUGUAAUGGUGUUGGCUACAAGGAUUUUUCUUUCAUAUCCCCCGAAGGUUAAGUUCUUGUUUCAUUCUAUGUGUUUAUCACAUCGCGUGGCUCACCAUAUCAACUUCUUGAAUAGCUCAUGGCAACACUGGAGAAUCAGGUAAUUAAUUAAUUUUAUGAGCACAUAUAUUUUAUGUUAUCUAUUUUUGUUUGUCUUAUAACUGAAUUUUAUUAUUUAUGCAAUCUAAACUUGACUGGGCAACAAUAUCAUACAAAAACCACUUUGGGAUUGGAGAGAGCUCAUGAAAUGACUACAAAGAGAAGACAAAGAGUGAUAUUAUUGGUGGAAAACUCCGAAAGGGAAUUAGAGAAUGUUGCUGAUGAAAUUCAAAAUACAAUAGCACGACUAUAAGAUUGGCUUCAAGUCUUCAAUAACACUCUAGCAAAACAUCGAGCGUGAUUCACUCUUUUCAGGAAUGAAAUACCGCUAAGUAACGACAUCAUCCAUCCACUUUAGGUAGUUUAUAACAAUUUAUUAUAAUACAUUUGGCAUUUGGGAUUUAAUUUAAUUUUCUUGUGUUUGAUUCUAAUGACUUUAUCUCACUAAAAUCAUCUCUAAUUUUUGAAUUAAAAUUUAAAAAUUUAGGUUGUUAUUUAAAAAUAGUUUUUCUAUUUCAACCUUUCUAGAUUAAUUUUUUAGUCUGAGAUUAUAAAAUAAUGAAUUUAGGCUAUUUUUUUUAAAGUAACUUAAAAAAAAGGAGAAAUUAGGUUUUCAUCCCUCAUUUUGCUAUUCCAUUGAUUAAAACCUUAUUCUUUUUCAAUUUUUGAUCAAGGUCCUUGGAUAUUAAUAACAUCAUUAAUUAUUUCAAUAAUAAAAUAUUUUUUAUUUCUAAAUAUAUUCAUGUAGUGUUAAAAAUGUUACAAUUAAUAUAUUUAUAUUUAUGGCUAAAUUUUUUAUCAUAUAUUUUUAUUUUUAGUUUGUACCCAUUUUUAAUUUGCAACCCUUUUUUAAUUUGUACCAAUUUUCUUUUCAGUUUUAAUUUGUACCCAUAUAUUAAUUUCUUUUUGUGCCAUAUUUUUUAAAGUUUUAUUUGUAUUUGUACCCAUGCUAAUUAUAUGUAUCCAUUCAUAUAAUUUUUUCAAAAUUUUAUUAAAAUUUACUCAUUCUUAAAUAUACCAAUUUAUUAUAUGUAAAAUGUAAAUUUUAUUUUAUAUAAAAUCUAUUCAAUUUUUAAACUUAUAUGGGUACAUUAUUUUUUCUUGAUUUGAAAAUGUAUCCAUGUCAAGUUUAAUUGAAGAAAUUUACUAAUGUUAUUAAGCCUAAUAUUUUUUUUUGUGAUUUUGAAGAAUGUACCUAUGUUUUGGUAAUAAUUUUUUGGUUAAUGUACCCAUGUUUACACAUACACACACAAUAGUAUAUUUAUAUUUUAAUCCCACAAAUUAUGGUUUUUUAUUUAAAAUCUCAUUAAUAUAAACAACUAUAACUUUCAAUUUUUAAUUUAAAAAAAUAGUAACAUACAUAGAAAUAAAUUAUCACAUUAAUUUCAAGGACUUCGAUUAAAAAUUGAAAAUCAACAAGGUAUUCAUAACUAGGGACCGCAUCCAAAGUCUCCCAAAAAAAAAUUAUGUAGAUUAUUUUAAUUUAAUUUUAUGUACAUUUUAAUCUAUAAAUAUUUACAUUCCGAUAAAUAUUAAAAAAUUGUUAAACUGACACAAUCAAACUCAUGGUACACUAUGAAAAAAAGAUGAAACACAUGAUAAAGAGGUAUAACACACGAAACAUAUGAAAAUUAGCCAUAGAAUUUAAUUUUAGAUCUUUAUAUACAUCUUUUUUUUUUUUUACCUCUAGAUUAGAUUAUAAUAGAUUAGAUCAUAUUAAACUCAUGGUACACUAUGAAAAGAAUAUGAAACACAUGAAAAUAUAUGAUAGAUUAGAUCAUAUUAAACUCACCCUCUACCCCUUGUGCUGCCUUCUGUUCUGCUGCUGCCAUCACAGAAGAAGGAAAACAGAAAAGGCUUUCUAGCUUCCCUUUCUUCCAAACUUUUUUAUUUUUUAUUUUUUAUUUUAUGAAACAAAAAUUAUGAAGAAAUUGGCAAGUUUUUGCUGCUUUUGUCUCAUAAACGCGAAGGCAUCUAUAAAUUCAUAUUUUUAAUCGCCAAUAUAUUAUGAGAAUCAUGUAAUGGUUUUUGAAUAAAAAAAUUAUGAGUAUUGAUCAAUAAACUUAAUACAAGUUUAUAAUAUGGAGUAAUAAAAGUUCUAAUCAAAAUGUAUCUUACUCCACAUAAUGAAUUCAGAAACUAAGACUCACUUUUUAAUUCAAGAUCAAAGCUCCAAGAAUCAGCGGGCGGUGCCUGCGUCUGGCGGGGACUUGGAAACUCGCUGGUCCCUGCCACCUGCUCCUUUUGUAAAAAUAAAUGUGGAUGCAGUUGGGUUGAGUCUUCACGUUCGGGGUUUGUGGGUUUGGUGGCGCGGGAUAGUACAGGGAAGUUUUUGGCUGCUAGUGGGCAGGCUAUUGCGGCUUUGUGUGUUAGUCAAGCUGAGGCCUUGGCUCUUUUGCUUGGUUGUGAACUGGGUAUCUCACAAGGGUUUAGUUGUAUAAUUCUUGAAUCGAAUUUGUUGGAAUCGGUUUCUUGUUUGAAUGGCAGUUGGAGGGCGUAUCCCAUUUUGGCAAGUCCAGAAGUAUCGGGAUUCCUUUCAGGAUUGCCGCUGAUCUUGGAGACCUAGAUCAGUCAACAAGGCUGCAGAUUUGUUAGCGUCGCAGAAGUCUAAGAAGAUGGACGAUGUUUUGUGGGUUGACCGACCCCCAUCCUCCUUGGUUUUCGUCUUAAACUUCGAUGGAUUGCCUUGUCCCCAUUAGGUGUUCUUGGCUUUGCGGGGAGUGACGCUUUGGCUUCUAGUGCCGCGUCAGUCUUUCUUGUAGCUUCCUGCAAAGUUUGUUUCCAGUGUUCUGUUGAUGUUUGCCUGGUUUGGCCUUCUGUUUGUGUUGCUUCUUAGCCCUGGGAUUGUUUUUCCAGUGUUCCAAAAAAAAAAAAAAAAAAACUCCCAUAAAAGAUUGACAUGACAUGUUUGGGAGUCUGGUGACUUGUCUCCCCUAUGCUGUGCAUGCAGAGUUCAUUAUAAAAAAUUAAAAAGAAAAAAAGAAAAAAAAAAGAAAUUAUGUUCUCAAUCUUUUUUUUAGGGAUGUGAUAUCCACACACUCUAUUUUACUUCUCACACACCUUUUUAAUUUUUGGCCGUCGGAUCGGAUGAAUUGAAAAAGAUCAACGAACAGAAAUCAUCCAGGGGUGUGUGAGAAGUAAAAUGGGGUGUGUGGAUAGCACACCCCUUUUUUUAUUGCAUUGAUUAAAAUUUUAAUUUUUUUAAUUUUUUAUCAAAGUUUACUUUUAAUGAAUGUCAUUAUUUUAAUUAUAAAUUAUUUACAUACCAGCAUAAUGGAAAUCUUUAAAGAAAUAUAUUUCCAUUUUUCUAAUAAAAAUGAGAAUUAGUUGUGAGGUUUAUACUAUAUCGAAUUUUAACGAUCCAAACAAUCUAUUUUUCAAGUUACAUCUCAUAGAUCAUCCUUGCAAAAUAUUAGCCGAAUAAAAAAUAUUUAAGAUAUCUAAUUGGGUUCAAAGAAAUUAAUGAAUACUUUGUUAUAUUAGAAAUAAUGAAAUUUUAUUUUGAUAAUUAAAUAAGCAAAUAGUUUAUGAUUAAAUUAAAUUUUUGUAAAGAUGAUCUAUGAAUUGAAACUUACAAAAUAGACAAAUAUAUAUAGAAUGAGUAGAUAAAAAUAUAUAUAUAGAAGCCUAAGCUCUUCCGCCCCCUCCGACUUGAAACUAAAUAAUCGUCGUAACCCACUGUCAUUAGUGAGAUGAUGUUCGAGUACAAAAUAUCGUUGUCCUCAUUUUUUCUUCGGUAAUGCAUUAGGUUUCCUCAAAUAUGCACGUGGCUCAGACUUCUGAUGCUUAAAAAAAUGCACUAAGGAAUGCAACAUAAAUAGACGCCAGUCGAUAACUCUCUCCACAACACGUAUAAUUAUGCUUGAGUAUACCAGAACCAUGCACGUCACGAACUCUGAUGAAUUGGUGUUGGGCGUCAAAUCACCGAAUCUCAUUAUUGUUAUGGUAUUGUAUGGUAGGAGACAUCUAUACGAUGCUUUCAACUCACAUUGGAGUUUGGAGGGGCGGAAGAUCGUAAAAAAUGGCUUUACUAAAUAAAGGCAAUAGUCACUGUCAUGAGCGGAAAAUGAUCAUUGCCCGAUCAAUUUUUCUGGAAAUUUUAUGAAUUCCGUGAUUGAAAUCGUUCAUCGUAUAUCAUGCGGUCAAUUUUCAUUAGAUACUAUUUAUAUUUAAUUUUAAAAUGAUUUAUAACCACACGAUAUACGAUGGACAAUCUCGAUCAUAGAAUCUCCAGAAAAAGGACGGGUCCUUUUCCAGUCAUAAGCAACCACAAAGAUCCCGAAUUGGCUACCAUACUUGCGCAUCGUUAUUGAUACGUAAGAAAGCGUAGCAAUAUAUUAGAGAAAUCACAUGAAAAUGAUCAUGACAGAAAGACUCGGUCCAUAAAAUAAAAUUAAAAAGUGACCUAGGUUCGAUAAGUAGAAGAUAGAUGCAAUAGCUUUUCCAGUAUCUUAAAAAUUGAAAUCACUGUACUCGACAAUUAUCAAUGAGAUGACAUUAAAAUAGUAGACAUCACCCUUUCCCAUUCUCUUAUUCUGACUGAGCCCGUCGUAUGUUUUUCCUCGAAUUACUGUGUGAAUACGCCUGAAAAAAAACAACCACGGAUUGCAACAUGAUAUGGGAAGACCUAUCACAUUCAUUAUUAAAAUUCAUCACACAAAGCCAGAUUUACAAAAAAAAAAAAAAAACACAAAUGUUGGGAUUUAUUGAUGAUUUGCCACAAAAGAAAGUUGCUUGGCAAUGGCAUUGCUAGCACGUAGACGUGUUUUACAUGAUUGGACAUUGUUGGAAGCAGUGUGGUGAAUAUGAAAGAUUCAAGUAAAUUCGGGUAUAAAUUUGAAAAAAAAUAAAUAAAAGUUGAGGACCAAAUGUUAAUUAAUCAAAGAUCCAACUGAUCACCAAGUCUGUAAUGUAAAUAGGCAGUUAACAAAUAUUCUAGCCAAAAGUAAUAGGAAUUAGACCUAAGAUGAUUCCAAAUAGAAAAACUUUAGUCAUUUCAGUUUGUUUGAAAGGGAGAAGGGAGAGGUAAUAUUUUGUUGUAUCUAAAAACCUUUAUUUAUUUAUUUUUUUUUUUUUUUUUUUUUUAACACAAAGAGAUAAAAGAAGUCAUUGCAAUUGCCGGAAAUACUAAGCCCACUAAACGCAAUAAUUUAUAAUUUAGGCAUAUAUUUCUUUCUCAAUCCUAAUCCAUUAGGUUUCAAAUCAAUAAUUAACGAGAAUGAACACCCAACAAACACAUGCCCGUGCCUCUUAAUAUUACGGUCUAGUGGUGUUUCUCUUCACUUGUAAGUGAGAGGUCUUAGAUUCGAUUAUCGCCAAAGACGAAUUAGAACCAUAUUGCUAGCUCAUUGUAAGGUUUAACUUAGUCCUCCAUUCCUAUUAAUAUUAGAUAAUAUAUCAUUUGUUAAAAUUUAAAAAAAAAUCCCCUACCCCUCCAAAUCAAUAUUAACCACCAACCUGUACCUUAUGAGGCCUGAGAGGGGUUGUAGCGCAACGAUUCGUGGCGAUUGUCUAGGAUAUUGCAUGCAAUGGCCUUGAUCUUGUGGUAUUACAAACUACCUCUAGAAGAUUGAAAGUCAGAGUGGAGUCAGCCACCAUUUCCCAGCUCAACAUGACGAGUUUCGAGUUAACCAUUGAGUGGGAGCUGAUGCUCAUAGUCACAAUAAACCCGAAUGACAAGAACGGCAUCGACGUCUAUUUCCGUGAUCGUUUUCUUGCCACGCUCUUGUACUAUGACAACUUGAUGGUGGCGACCAAGUCAUUGCCUCCUCACUUCCCUUAAAUAAAGAGACAAACCAAACAGUCACUUUGAGUUUCGAAAUGGGAGCAGAAAUAGCAUACUUAUGCAAGACCUGAUCAAGGAAAUCUCCGGCGGAACAUCUGGAUUGGCGUCAUGGUAUUGGCUCAGUAUAUGUUCAUCCCUGCGGCUUGGUAAACUGAGGGAUUGAAUAUGUUGCAAGUCUCCUGAGGUUAUGCAAGACAAAGUCUAGCCAUAGAAGGGACAUUGUUUGACUCUUAAUUGAAUGUGUUGAUAAAUGUAAUUACAAUGGACUAGUGUUAUGUAAUUAUUGAUUGUCUUAACUUCAAAUUAAUCUUGUGAUUUUUUUUUUCUUCCAUCACAUUACUGAUAUCAAAUGUAAUUCAGUAUUACAUACAUUGUUGUUGAGACAUGUAAGGUUUGGGCUCAAAUGCCUUGAGAGGGGGUUGCUCAUUGGUAACCGGUAGAAUUAGGCAAAGGAUAAUGCUAGAGAGACUAAAUUUGUGGACAAAAUUUUGUAAACUAAAUAACAUGGAAGUUAACGAUUUGAUUAUUACUUAAGUGUUGAUUAACGUGCUUAUUUUUUAUUUGUGACAUAUCAUUUAGUUUAUCAACACUACUCUUACGAAAAUAUUAUGCAACUUUAGCCAUAACCAUGCUCAAAUCUUUCCAAUAGUUUUUUUGUCGUUGUAAUGUUAUAGUUGAUGAUUUUUUUAUAUCAACUAUAGUUGACGACUAGAAAGUACUACCCGCGCGUUGCUGCGGGAUUAGAAAAUGCAUGAAAGAUUAUGUUUAAAAUAUAACAAAGGUUGUGUUGUAGUAAAUUGUUUCAAUUUAGGUACAAUGAAUUGAAACUUUGAAUAAUCACACCCAAUGUUGUGAAGAAAGGUUUUGUCUGGAAUAACACUGAUUUUAUAUCUGCACUGCAGUUCCGGCUAGAAUACGAAUAAAUUUACAAAAUGAUUUGCUUAUUUUGGUAAGAGAUUUAACAAAUCAGGUAUAAUUUAUGACAGUAAAUGCAAGAACGGAUAAAACACUCUAAAUAACUAUAAGUUUUACAGAAAAGCUUUUCAAUCCAAUAUCAUCCAAAACUAUGUGUUCUGAAACGAAAAACAGAAGCCAAUCAUAUAUAGCCAAAAUUACAAUGAAAGAUUUCAUAUUUUUCUAGAUAAGUCGUAUUCCCUUUCAUUAUGUAUGAUAACAUUGAAGGUUAUAGCAUGCCAAUUCCACAUUGAAAGUUUGUAUAGCUUUAUUUUACAGAAUAUCAAGAGGCAAACCUGCAGAGCCGCUGAACAUGCUCCAAGGUCCCAAACUUUGAAGUUCUUAAUAGCAAUCUUUUUCAUGGCUUGGUAGCUCAUAUAGCAUGACAUCGCCCAUGUUUGUUCCAACUGAAAUCAUAAAAUCGCUUAUUACUAAAAGAGAAGUAUUAUCCAACAUUUGAAACAAUGACAUAAAAAAGACAUACAAAUACAAUAAUUCACAAUGAGUGGAAUUGGAGGUCAGCUCUCUAGAGCUUACCAAGAAGAAAAAUUUGUUGCAUUGGGUGGAAAUCCAUACUCUUGACAGUUGAACCUGGACGUAAAGUCAUAACAACAGACUUGGGCAAGUCAUUAGAAGAGUAGGAACUCUGACCAUGGCUCUGAUUAGGAUACGCAACAGGCAACAUAUUUACUGGCAGAUUAUUGGCCUGUUAGAAAUUGUGUUAAUAUAGAAUCAAUUACAUAAACUAAGAAGUUGAAACUUGAAAUUUUUCUGUAAAAUAAAGCUAUACAAAUUUUUGGCAUAAAAGUUGCACACAGCUCAUAAAAAAAAGGGAACUGCAAGACCAUUUGCAUCAUGUUUAUAAGAAAGAAAAAAAUUCUUUUAAUUCUGUUAAGCAUCCUUCAUGAUCAGCCAUGUUCUAGUAUUUUGGAUAAUCUAAACUUACCUUUUUGUUACUGGCCUUUUAGGGAACAAUUUCGCUACCUACCUUUUAUGGAACAAUACAUUAAGGAUAUGAAAUACAUUUAUUUCUGUAAUUUAAUAUUACACGGUCAAAAAAAUAUGUCAUAAGAAAGAAAAGCUUCAAAUUUAGCAAUGUAACUCAGACUUCCAUCAGAUAAAUCAGAAUGUGCAAAAAUUAACGGAUAGAUUUAUACCUCAUCUGUUAUCUCGAAAGGUCUUGAUCUCUUCAGAACGUGCUCAGAAUCAGCUGUUUGAUAGUCCAUAGUUGGGUUACUGGUUGGAGUCGUCCUAGGGCACUUGAUUGCAGCUAUGUCAUAAGCUUCUGCAGCUUCCUCUUGGGUGCCUAAAAUUCAAUUCAAGUUUAGACUUUUGUACGAAACUGCAUUAAUUAGCUUUGCAAGAAAGAUCAAAACUUUGCAGUAAAAUAUAGCCUUUAUAAGUGAUUUUAGCUGGAAAGUCUUUUUCUAAAACAGCCUUUAAAAAGUUCAUUGUUACAAUUAAAAGCAGACAUUUCAUCAGCAUUAUAAAAAGUGUGAGAACAGAGUUGCUGUAAAAAUAAGUCAUUUUGAAGAAGUGCUUAAGCAAAGAGCCUUAUGGAAUUUAGAAAAUGUGACCGAAAACAAAACGAAUUCAAACAAUGUAUGAAUUUUACCAAAAGUUCCAAGAUAAAGAUGCUUGUUCCCAGUACCUCGGCCAAUCCUAGCUUGCCAUCUCCCAUGCUGGUGAUGUCUGCAGAAAACCAAGAUCAGAAAACAAAACCAAAAUUAGAACAAUAUUAACCCUUUUAACCUUCAAAUUUGGUGCGUUUAAUGCAAAACCGAAAAAACCUUGUCAUGCCUCGGUACAGCGAAGGCCCUCUUAAAAAUCCACUGCUUUUCCUGAAAAUCAAAGGAACUGAUGAAUACUCAUAAAAAAUUUUAAAACAUUAGAAAACAAUCUUCUGAUUAACAAAUCAAAAUCGCUACCUUCACAGAUGCGCAAUAUAUUCCCGCCAGCUUAUGUUAUUCAUCUCUUCAAGUUGUGCAGUGUAAAUAUCCAACUGCCAAAAGACCAAGAGAAUGAAACUUCAGCUACUAAAAAGCUUUCACAAAUUGAUAAAAACUCCAAGAGUCAGAACCCUACCGGAAAGUUUAUAUGAGUUGAAGAACCCCAGUACUUAAGAGCAGCAAGACCAUAUGCUCUAGCAACUUUCUCCUCCAUAUCAUAACCUCCUGCAGUUCAAACGAACAAAUGAUUAAUGCAAAUCGACAAAUUAGGUGACAAUUAAAACUAAAAUCCAAAUCAAAAAUGCCAAAAUCUGAAAGGUACCGUUUCCCGAAACUGUAAAACAAAACGUUUCAAACAUGCACAAAAAACGAUCCAAGGAAAAACAAAAAAUUGAAACCAUAUACGUUGAGAAGCAUGCAAUCUGACAAAAAAAAUCCCAAAAUCCGAAAGGUACCACUCCUAAUCCUAACCUUAAUUCUCAGAACAACCAGAUUCCCAACACCAAUUGACAAUCCAACCAUGAAUUUCCAAAACUUUCCCAAAUCCCAAUCUUCAGCAUGCAUUAAAUCCUAUCUAAAACUUAACAUGUACUGGAUAAUGAAGAAUCACCCCAAAUUGCUAUGAAGGUCUGCUGCACACGUGAGGACACGUUCACAAAGCCUUUCAAUGGCUGAGAUUCAACUUUCAAAUAUGAAGACUUUAAGCCACAAUUGUUCUUUCUUAACUUUAGCUACUUCAGCUACAUAAUCAGAAAAGAAAAAAAAAAUUCAUUAUAGUUAACUAAUUUGGGUUAAGAUUAAUAAAAAAGCUUGGAAAUUUCAAAUCUAAAAUCACACCUCAUGCUGCAAGAAGAAUAAAAAUCAUGGAAUUUCAAAACCACUCACCUUAAACACAGAGGUCUUCGCAGGCUUCAAAGAAAAGUCACAAACUCAAAAAAACCCGAUCUCCUGAAAUUGAAAAACAAAACCAAAUUAACCUUCAUCACCUAGAAUCCGAAGAUACAAACAAAAUUCCGAAAAUCACAACCAAAAAAUUUUAACAAAAAACCCAUUUAAAAUCCAAACUUAAACUCCCAAGCACAUAACAUUCAAAGCAAUGCAGCAAAGACUUGUGCACAAAAAAACCCAGAACUAACCACAAAACGGCAAGACUUCAGACGUGAAGAAGUCAGCGUGCGAAGCGCAGGAGCAAAGCUGAGAAGACAAAGACAACAAAGUGAAAACGAAAGGCAGAGAGCGAAAGAGAGAAGCGGAAAAACAAAAGGAAAAAGUGAGGAGAGAGCGAUGAAAAUGAAAGAAAAAGCAAUAAGACCUCCGAACAGAAAACGUCCCGAUCAUCAACACGUGGAAUACAGAGGCCAAAAAAAUCUGAGCAAAACCAAAAAAGUAGGUGGAAACGGAUGAGGAUGGGGAAAGAAAAACCCAAAGCUUACAAAAACAAAAAAAGAAGCAAAAGCUAAACGGACGAUAGACGCGUGCGGUAGGAAGGCACGAUGGUCUUUUUGCUGUGCUAAAAGGUCAAAAAACAACAAAUCACAAAGGAAUUAAAUGGCAAAACAGUAAUUUCACUGUUCAUAAACAGUGUUUUUGUGUUGGAUUUUAGUAUAGGUAUAAUAUAUAAAUAAAUGUAACUGAGAAGAGAAAAAGAAGGUUUGAGAGAGAAAGAAAGGUCAGGCGGAAAAGAAUGAAAAUGAGGAGAGAGAGAGACGUGAGGGAUGAGAGAUGAGAGAGCCCUGACAUUUUUUAAUCUUAUAUUUUUACCCACCAACUACCAAAAGCUGAUGAGAGGAUAAAAAGAAGGUUUGAGAAAGAAAGAAAUGCAGGCGGAAAAGAAUGAAAAUGAGGAGAGAGAGAGAGACGUGAGGGAUGAGAGAGAGGGGGACAGAUGGGAACCACUGACAUUUUUUAAUCUUAUUUUUUUGUCCAACAACUACCAAAGCUAAUAAGAGGCAGUGAAGGACAAAAUAGACUUUCCACUGUAUCAAAUUGUGAACAGUAAGCAGAACAAAGAAGAAACUGAGGGCAUUUCCGUCCAAACACUGUUCACGAACAGUGAAAAACAGUGCCACCCGAGUUUGGGUUUUAGUAUAUGUAUAAUUUUAGGAUGAGUGGAAUGAAAUAUCUUUCCCUUGUGUAAAAAAUUGUGCUUGCAAUUGUGUUUCUCUUUGAAUAUGAAUUUCUUAUGUGUGCUAUACUUAUUGUACACAAAAACACAAUACAGAAGCACACGGGGUUAAGUACAUUGAAUAGUUUUCAUUGUACUACAAGUACAAGUAUACUUUAAGGACUGAACAUGUAUGCUCUUCAAAUUUUUCUAGCUAGAUCUCUAAGGCCAUCUCCAACCGAAGGCUGGCUAGAUGACUCGUUUUAGCCAUCUAGCCCUCCAAGAUAUUAAUAUUUUAAUAAACAGUACAUGGCCAUAUUUGCCUUCAUCUCCAACCGAGGGCCAAAAGGCCAUAGGGCUUGUUUUAGCCCUGUCACAAAAAAAAGUCUCUAACCGAGGGCCAAAUAUAAUUUAUUAUUUAAAUUUAAUGUUGUUUCACGUUACUUAAUUUAAUUUAAUAUUGUAUAAUAGCUUAGGAAGUUAUAGAAAAAAAAAAGAAUUUAAUAAUAAUAAUAAAAAUUGUAAAAAGAAAAAAAAAAGGGCCUACUAUUCUUGUCGGAUAUAACCUACAGGAAUAAGUGCAAUGUUGUCGGUUAUAUCCGACAUGACUAAUGAAAAUCCAGCCCGGCCCGUGGCUAGCUGGAUUGGGCCAGCCAUUUGACCUUUUCAGAUUUCGUGGGGCCCACGAGCCCUUUGGCCUAGCCCUCGGUUGGAGAUGAUUUUUGGACUAUUUUCGGCCCUCUGGCCCUUUGGACCCUUUGGUUGGAGAUGGCCUAACAUGACAAAUGUUGUUUGCGAGUCACCAAUAUGAGCCUUUAGCACAUUUGUGUUGGAGAUGAUCUUAGGUUUUUCUAGUCCUUUUUUGGGUUUGGAUAGGAAAAGAAAUUUACGCAGCCAGGGUGUCUUGGUAGGUCCUAUCCCAUAGCGAGGGGAGAAACUUUUAGCAACAAAUGCAUUAUCCUAGUGACAUCACCUAUUCAGUAAACGUUUGUUAUGUGUUCAAAAAGUGACAAUAUACGUCUAAUAAACAUUUAACCAUAUGAUAGAUAAAAUACAUCUUAUAACUUUUUCUGGUAGCUGCCACAUAAUCAAGAUAUCCCGUAGAAACUCGGUUGAGCUAUACCAUUUGGGGGUUGCUCAUUUUACUACCUUUCAUAUUAAAAAUAGUCAUCUUUAUCCUGAGUCCAUUAUUCCGGUCGUAUGAUAGGUAUGGAACCAAUAGGAUCCUCUCCGUAUCCUUUUGGUGAGGAUUAUGGGGAUCCGUGAAUUGUGUCCGUUCAUUGUACAUCGUGCGGUCAAUUUUUGUCAAGUACUAUUUAAAAUGAUUUCUGAUCACACGAUAUAUGAUUAAUGGACAUGAUUCACGGAUCCUCAAGAUCCUUACAAAGAGGAUCCGGACUCGGUAUAUGGAAAAGAGCAUAUGCAAUUAGCCUUGCAUCCAGACUUCCAGAGCAGUCUUGAGCCCUCAACAGAGAACGAAGGACUAUAUAUUUAUUUUUGGAAACGAAGGACUAUAUAUUUUUUUGGACAAAAAACGAAGGACCAUAUAUAAUCAUCCAGAAAUAGGGUCUUAUUCCCCAAGUCCUUUAUCUCCGACUCUAACUGCCAAUUUCCCUCACUCAAUGGCAUCUUCAAAACCUUAAACCUAGUUCAUUUGGUCACUAGAGAACAGGAUUAUGAAACUUUAAUUGUUCUCCCAUGCAGAGGUUGCCGACCAAACUUACAACUUUUUCUGGUGGAAGCAUUUGAGGUUAUUCUAUUUAGUUCAAACUCUACUAACUAAUCAUAAGAAGAGGAAAAAACAAGCAUGAAAGACUAUUGCAAAACGUUUCUACUAUCGUCAUUUACAAAAUACUACUGAAGGAACAACAAAACUUCGUCACUAAUUAGUUCACUUGCUCAGCCAUUGUGAAAGAAGGUUUCCAUGGCAAGUUUUUGCAGAGGCAGCCCUGCCAAAUCUCGAUAGUUUUGCCUGUUGUGUCAACCACAUCACGGUGACCAUUCUUGGCAUUCAAGUCUGACUUUUUGUUUUUUGUGCUACUGAGCUUGUUUGAUGGAUGUGGCACCUAAACGAGGCGUGUUCCGUGGGAGCGCAUAUGCAAGUCUUCUUGGAACUACUUGUAUUUUUAACUGGUUUGCUUUCGGUCAUAUUCUUCCUUGGAAUCUUCUUUCGUAUGGCCUUGGCUAAUUCAUCUUCUCGACUAGGCAGACUACCCGUCACUUUAUCAAGCCUGGUAAUUGUAAAUCAUAAACACAGGGGGAUUGGGAGUAUCCAUUACAAGGAUAAGAAGCAUAUGCAUUAUUGUUAUACUAUCGCACAGCUUCGUAGUUUUCAAUGAAACACAUAGAAGCAGCAAAGUAACCAAAAGAGUAAUGCUAGAAAAACUAAAUUUGUAGACUAAAUUUACAAACUAAAUAAUGUGUCACUAAUAGAAAAUGAACACAUUUAUCAACGUUUAAGCAAUAAUUCAAUCAUCAACUUUCAUAUCAUUUUGUUUAUAAAAUUUAUUCUUCCUAACGUUACUCUAACCAAAAUAUAAAUUUUUUUUUAUCGAGACAAAAACCACGUGGCAAGUUGGAUGCAUGUAUUCUCAAAUUAAGGCCGAAAAUCUACUCAAACCAUGUUUAUACUUUGAGCAGAAACAUCGUCAUAACAAAUCAACUAAAGAGAUACAAACAAAGCAAUGCAAGUGGUUGAAAGGGCUUGAUCAACAGAAAAAACUGCAUCAGCAAAAUAGAUUAAUUAAGAAAUACAAUUGAGAUCCAAGAGUAAAUAAUCAAAUAUAUGAUGAAAUCAUGAAUUAUCUAAAAAUUCUUGUUUUACCAAAUUAAGCUGCUCCACCAUUUAUCCUAGUAAUGCUAUAACCUGAUUAAAGCUUAAUUAUCAGUCUCCAAAUUCUUAAAUCUUUUACCUAAACCCAUAACAAUCCGUCAGAUUGUAAACACCUCAACACCUUAUCAAUUGCAUUAGUUAGGGCUUAGAAAUUGGGUUUAACACCAAUAACCCAAUUUGAAAAAUUAAUUUAUGGCUUCCAAUUUUACAAAGUUGCAACUUUGAAAAAUUGAUAAAAAUAUAUCAGUUGAAUUAAGAGAUAGAUGAGAAUACCCAUCAAAAUUACGGAAAAAUUUAAUACACAAAAAUACCAAUAACAUACCAAAGAGUGAUGGGUUUGGGCUCAUAUUCUCAUCAGCCGGCAUUGUCAUCGUAUCAAAUUAACUGGAUGUCGAAAGAUCAAGAUUGUUCUUGAAACCCCAAGAAAGAAUAAUUCAAAGACAGAUCUUACGAAUAAGGCGAAUAAAUAUAGAUUUUUGGAAGGUGGGCUCACAAACUAUGAAGUAAUAUGGCUAUUGCUUGGACAACUCGUAGAGAUGGGAUGUAUUGGAUGAUUUGGUUUGGGUUUCUGGGUGUGUUAUCCAUACAUUUUUUUUUACUUUGUACACAUAUUUGUUAAUUUCUUUUAUUUGAUAUUCUUUAAUUCAAUCGAUUCGACGGUUGCAAAUUAAGAUGGUGUGUAUAAAAUAAAAAUAAGUAUGUGAAUUGAACAUCCCUUUCUAGAAAGAGGAGAGAGAGAAUCGAUAGAGUCAUUGUAAUCAGGCCAAUCAAGAAGCAACACGUUCAUGCAUGCAAUGCAGAGAGACGUAACACUUGUCUGCGUUACAAAGAUUCCUAUAUACUUGGCAUAUAGUGAAAGAUCACAGUGAUAUGGAUCAAUAACGACUCUACUACUACCAAUGCUCUCUUGGCUCUUAUACUCUCCGAGUUAGGCUGCAUCAGGAUUCAAAUAAUGUCAGCAACUUCACUGUUCACUUGGCUCAAUUUUUAUCUUUCGACAAAAUUAAGAAGAGAUGAUAUCGAAAGUAUUCAAAAAAUUAAGACUGACAAUAAAAGAGUCCAUACUUACACAUAGUUAGUGAGCAAAACAUUUUUAUUUUAUUAUACCAUUAGUUUCGUUAACAUCUACUUCAACGAUUAAUUGAUGCAAGAAAUUUUGUAGAGAUAAUUAGAUAUAGGAUCAUUACACACUUAAUUAUUAUAUUUAAUUCUCAAGAUUUUGUUUAUUAUUGAGGUCCAUAGAUUUUGAUCCAACUUAACAACUCUCCUUUUGUAUGAUGAUGAGUCAUUCUAUUUUUAAGUCUACAUUUUUUAUAUUUUUUAAAUGACAUUUAUACCCUAAUCUUUUGAACGUAAUGGGAUGAAUGUAAUUUUCCUUAAUUUUAUACAUUUUGACUUUAAUUUUCUUUCUUUAUUAAGUUUUGAGUCAUUAUUUGCAUUAUAAUACUAAAAAUUCUGCAGCAAACUGGUAUUGUGCUUCAAAUCGGUGUCGUGCACUUUUAUCUUUGUUUGAUUUUUUUUUGUUUGUUGUAUUCUUUUGAGGGAGUCGCAUGUUCAUCAAACUACAUAUAUAUCAGGUUUAUUAGAUCUGACCAUCAUGUUCAUAUGCACCAAACUAUCAGUUUCAUUCAACCUGCAUAUCAGGUUUAUUACAACCAAACUACCAUGUUUGCUACACCUGCAUAUUAGAUUUAUUAAACUACAUAUCAGGUUCAUUUUGAAAAAACCUACAGGUUCAUUCAGUCUAAACAUAUGGUUCAUUAUCCUAGGACCUAAAGAGAAAAAUGAUCCUCUUCUCAAAUAUUUAGCUUCAAAUACAAAUUCCUAUUGAUUGAAAAUUGUCGAAAGUAUAUGGGUUCAUGCAUACCAGCAACUUACCCCAUCUUCCCAAUGGAUGAAGAAAGAUGUAUGGAACGGUAAGUAAUUUGACAUUUGCAGACUAUAUAACUGGAAUCACCAUUCGAAUCCAACGUGAGUUAUUGUUGAGACUAUUAAUCUCAUAUCGAGAAAAAAAGAAAUUUUGUAUGUGCUUAUAAAUAAGAGUGGUGAUAUUUCCACCCCGGUGUCUUAUUUCCCCACCCACCAUUUAAUGAAAAUGUUAAUAACAUAUUUAUCCUUUUAAAAGAAGACUCUUAAACCCCUAUUUAAUUCAAUACUAAAAUUUUGAAAAGACAAAAAAUAAUUUAAAAUAAUAAAUAAAUAAUGGUGGGUGGGGUGUGAUAUCUUUGGGGGAAAGAGGUUGGGAAAGAUUGGGGUUAGAAUUGACGGAAAGGUUGGUGGAAGGAACGAGCGUGUGCUGGACGAAGGCGAGAAACUUCAAUGGAGAAAAAAGAGAAUUGAGUGUGAGAUCUGCGGUUUUGACAAAAAAUGAAGAAGAAUAGUGGUUUGGGGGUCCGGGGUCUCUGUAGGACGGCGAUAAGUGUGAAGGAGAUGA